rnacentral:rRNA from 1 species
GAUGAACGCUGGCGGCGUGCUUAACACAUGCAAGUCGAACGGAAAGGCCCAAGCUUGCUUGGGUACUCGAGUGGCGAACGGGUGAGUAACACGUGGGUGAUCUGCCCUGCACUUCGGGAUAAGCCUGGGAAACUGGGUCUAAUACCGGAUAGGACCACAUUUUGGAUGGUGUGGUGGAAAGUUUUUCGGUGUGGGAUGAGCUCGCGGCCUAUCAGCUUGUUGGUGGGGUACUGGCCUACCAAGGCGUCGACGGGUAGCCGGCCUGAGAGGGUGUACGGCCACAUUGGGACUGAGAUACGGACCAGACUCCUACGGGAGGCAGCAGUGGGGAAUAUGACACAAUGGGCGCAAGCCUGAUGCAGCGACGCCGCGUGGGGGAUGACGGCCUUCGGGUUGUAAACUCCUUUCGCCAGGGACGAAGCGAAAGUGACGGUACCUGGAGAAGAAGCACCGGCUAACUACGUG